rnacentral:ncRNA from 2 species
UAAUUUCAUAAAUUGUCGGGUCAACAAACUACUAAUAAAUGUGGAGCGUUGUUAAAAGAGGAAGUCGGUUAAAAACCGUACAGACUAAUCCCUGCUGUGAUGGUGACGAAAGAAGCAGUUAAGCCACUGGAAUUUUAUAUUCUGGGAAGGCGCUUUUAGUAGGAUGAACCUAAGUCAGAACAAUCUACCCGAUAUACAUAGUAAUA